GGAUGGGUGGCCGAGUGGUUUAAGGCUCCAGUCUUGAAAACUGGCGUAGGUGCAAGCCUACCGUGGGUUCGAAUCCCACCCCAUCCGCCA
rnacentral:tRNA from 5 species